UACAGAGGGGGCAAGCGUUGUUCGGAAUUACUGGGCGUAAAGGGCGCGUAGGCGGCCCGCUAAGUCGAACGUGAAAUCCCCGGGCUCAACCCGGGAACUGCGUCCGAUACUGGAAGGCUUGAAUCCGGGAGAGGGAUGCGGAAUUCCAGGUGUAGCGGUGAAAUGCGUAGAUAUCUGGAGGAACACCGGUGGCGAAGGCGGCAUCCUGGACCGGCAUUGACGCUGAGGCGCGAAAGCCAGGGGAGCAAACGGG
rnacentral:rRNA from 1 species